rnacentral:rRNA from 1 species
UACGGAGGGUGCAAGCGUUAUCCGGAUUCACUGGGUUUAAAGGGAGCGUAGGAGGGCAGGUAAGUCAGUGGUGAAAUCUUCGAGCUUAACUCGGAAACUGCCGUUGAUACUAUCUGUCUUGAAUACCGUGGAGAUGAGCGGAAUAUGUCAUGUAGCGGUGAAAUGCUUAGAUAUGACAUAGAACACCAAUUGCGAAGGCAGCUCACUACACAAUCAUUGACGCUGAGGCACGAAAGCGUGGGGAUCAAACAGG